GCAGUUUGGACCUGGAGUCGCGCGGAAGCACAAUAACAAACAUGGAUGACCUCCUCGUACCGAUGCAAGUGCUGCUUUUGUCCUUACAAGCCUACAUUGCAAUCCAGAGGCGAAAAUACAAAUAUUGCUGGCUACCCGUCGUAUUCAUGGUCGGAGCGAACGGCGACUACGUUUAAGGAGAGAGAUGGUCCUACGGCUGAUUACGAGACAGAGAUCGCAUCUUGCCAGGAGACAUCCACUGAAAAAGAACCGGUGCUAAGGCAGACACUGGCUCCAAACCAGCCCUGGAACCUGUUUGGUGGAAAAGGGGUAUUAAUUGGCUUCGUUUUGGCCGGAGCUGCAGCUGGAGCUACUUCUGCAAUACUUUAUUGUCUGAUGAGACUGAAGCAGAGCUCAAAGCACCGGGAGGCCCUAAACAUACCAUGAGAACCAUGAAGACUCAACCCGCCCGCGCGUCAUCAGUCCUGUCUGAAUGAUAUGAUACUUGUUUUUUCUCUUCACCGAUAAAAGCCUUUAAAACACAUGAAGGAGACGUCCUGGAAGCUGAUAGUGGAUGAAUGGGACUUUUAUCUUUUUGUUAUGGAGGUUAUUUUAACCUGUAAUGAGCUUUUAUAUCAUUUUAAGAGCCUCCAAACUUCGCAUAUCCACCGUUGUUGUGAGCAGAGACGGACGCUUUUCCCCAUUCAUUUCUUCUAAAAAUGGUCUUAAAAUGUGCCGGAGCUCAAUUAAAACAAGUUUCCCUGUUAGCAUACAUGUUUAUUUUAACAGUCAACACGGAAAUGGCCAUGUCUUGAUGAUAGGAAUGGAUUAAACAGAGGUUAUUUGAGUGGCAGCAAAUACAACGAAAGGCAGAAGCUUCAUCAGUACUUCCGGUCAGAGCUCCAGACUGAUCAGUUUUUUGUCUUAUUUCUGUGCAAAAACGUUAAUUAUCCGUUUAUUUAGGUCAAAUGUAGACAGUGCCUUUUCAUAGCCUUGAAGUUUUGUUGAACUCAGCUCAUUAAUGUGAACAGACUGGCUACAGGCUUGAAUUAAAUGUGAUGACAAAAUAAGGAAAUGGAUGUAGCACUUUGUGUCACCUCCAUUUGCAGUACAUUUUGGAAUUUAGAAAUAAUUUUUAGACUAUUUACAUAAUCUGACAAAAUGGUAUUUUAUGGUAUGGUGUUUUUCCAAGUCGUAUUUUCACUUAUGUAAAUGAUCUAGUCAUUGCGUGGAAAAUCCAGGUUAAAUUUCCAAAUAUAAUUGUUGCAUCCACUUCUCUGUGUGAUAAUAAACUAUAUUAGGUACAUAAAACUGCACCUUUCCCCCAGUAGUUGAUGUUCAUUUUUUCUGAGUCCAGCGGUUAUGUACCUCAUAUUAGCUGGAUCAAGGAUGAAGACAUUCUACAUUCAUGAGUAAAAAAGGUUCAUUUUUAAUAAAGACCUUGUAUUUGAGAGAAUAAAGCAUUUUUACUACAUCAGGUGGUCUGAGCAUAAUUGUGAGCCCCUAUCCCAACAUCAGCCUUUUGGACACUGUUUAUGUCCUUAUCAAAAUAUUUAUUUCAUGUUCAGAGGUGAUGAACAUGAAGAAAACUAUUCAUUCCAAAGGAAAGUUGUACACCACUGCGUGAUGUUGAAAUUUCACAAAAUCUGCAGUUGUAUAGUAAUGAAAAGUAAGAAUACCCCAUUGUCACACUCCACAGAAUAUACAAAUUCAUUUUAGACCUUAUGCUGCACUUUAUUAAUAUUGUGGUACUAAAUUAAUGUCAUUUAAGUAAAAAAUAACACUUUGAAGAAGCUCCUGA